rnacentral:rRNA from 1 species
CACCGCCCGUCACGUCAUGGGAGUUGUCAAUGCCUGAAGUCCGUGGGCCAACCCGCGAGGGAGGCAGCGGCCGAGGGCAGGGGCAGCGACUGGGACG